ACUGCUCAGUAACACGUGGACAACCUGCCCUUAGGUUGGGUAUAAACCCGGGAAACUGGGUAUAAUACCCGAUAGGUCUCGAUUGCUGGAAUGCAUCGAGAUUUAAAGCUCCGGCGCCUAAGGAUGGGUCUGCGGCCUAUCAGGUAGUAGUGGGUGUAGCGUACCUACUAGCCUACGACGGGUACGGGUUGUGAGAGCAAGAGCCCGGAGAUGGAUUCUGAGACACGAAUCCAGGCCCUACGGGGUGCAGCAGGCGCGGAAACUUUACAAUGCUGGCAACAGCGAUAAGGGAACCUCGAGUGCCAGGUUACAAAUCUGGCUGUCGAGAUGCCUAAAAAGCAUUUCAUAGCAAGGGCUGGGCAAGACCGGUGCCAGCCGCCGCGGUAACACCGGCGGCUCGAGUGGUAACCGUUAUUAUUGGGUCUAAAGGGUCUGUAGCCGGCCGGAUAAGUCUCUUGAGAAAUCUGGCAGCUUAACUGUCAGGCUUUCAGGAGAUACUGUCUGGCUCGAGGCCGGGAGAGGUGAGAGGUACUUCAGGGGUAGGGGUGAAAUCUUGUAAUCCUUGAAGGACCACCAGUGGCAAAGGCGUCUCACCAGAACGGACCUGACGGCAAGGGACGAAAGCUAGGGGCACGAACCGGAUUAGAUACCCGGGUAGUCCUAGCCGUAAACGAUACUCGCUAGGUGUCGGCCACGGUGCGACCGUUGUCGGUGCCGUAGGGAAGCCGUGAAGCGAGCCACCUGGGAAGUACGGCCGCAAGGCUGAAACUUAAAGGAAUUGGCGGGGGAGCAC
rnacentral:rRNA from 1 species